CCUUGGGGAGCCCGGAAUUCCCGGGAAUCGCCGGGAAUCGCCGGGAAUUCGCGGGGAAUCCUGAGGGAUUUCUGGGAAUCCAUGAGAAUUCGUGGGAAUCCUCGGGAAUUUUUGGGAAUUCGCGGGAAUCCUGAGGGAUUUGUGGGGAUUUGUGGGGAAUCCAUGAGAAUUUGUGGGGAAUCCUCAGGAAUUCAUGGGAAUCCAUGGGAAUCCUCAGGAAUUUUCGGGAAUUCGCGGGGAAUCCUGAGGGAUUUGUGGGGAAUCCUCAGGAAUUCAUGGGAAUCCAUGGGAAUCCCCGGGAAUUUCCAGGAAUUCGCGGGGAAUCCUGAGGGAUUUGUGGGGAAUCCUCAGGAAUUCGGGGAAAUCCAUGGGAAUCCUGAGGAAUUUUUGGGAAUUCGCGGGGAAUCCUGAGGGAUUUCUGGGAAGUCCUCGGGAAUUCGUGGGAAUCCUCGGGAAUUUUGGGGAAUUCGCGGGGAAUCCUGAGGGAUUUGUGGGGAUUUGUGGGGAAUCCAUGAGAAUUUGUGGGGAAUCCUCAGGAAUCCAUGGGAAUCCUCGGGAAUUUUGGGGAAUUCGUGGGAAUCCUGAGGGAUUUGUGGGGAAUUUUCGGGAAUCCAUGGGAAUCCAUGAGAAUUUAUGGGAAUCCUCAGGAAUUUGUCGGAAUCUGUGGGAAUUUCCAGGAAUUCGUGGGAAUACUUGGGAAUCCAUGGAAAUCUUCAGGAAUCUGUGGGAAUCCAAAGGAGGUUCACAGGAAUCCAUGGAAAUCCAUGGAAAUUCCCAGGAAUUCAUGGGAACCUUUGGAAAUGCUCAGGAAUCCCCAGGAAAUCCUCAGGAAUCCAUGGGAAUUUGUAGGAAUCCUCAGGAAUCCCCAAGAAUCCAUGGAAAUUCCCGAAAAUCCAUGGAAAUCCUCAGGAAUCCACAGGAAAUUCAUGGAAACCCUCAAGAAUCCGUGGAAAUCCUCGAGAAUCCGCAGAAAUCCAGGGAAAGUCACCAGAAUCCACGGGAAUCCUCGGGAAUCCACAGAAAUCCAUGGAAUUCCACGGGAAUCCUCGGGAAUCCACAGAAAUCCAUGGAAUUCCACAGGAAUCCUCGGGAAUCCACAGAAAUCCAUGGAAUUCCACGGGAAUCCUCGGGAAUUCACAGAAAUCCAUGGAAUUCCCCACCCCGAACUCCAGAUCCCGAUCCCGCGGCUCCUCCGUUAUUCCGGGUCCUCCUCCCGCUCGGCCCCGGGACAGGAAAACCGGGAAUUCCCGCGGAUUUUUGGGAAUGUCGGGGCGGCCGGAGCC
ensembl:lncRNA